UACGGAGAGUGCAAGCAUUAAUCGGAAUUAUUGGGCGUAAAGGGCGCGUAGGCGGAAGGGAAAGUCAGAUGUGAAAUUCCAGAGCUCAACUCUGGAGCUGCAUUUGAAACUGUCUUUCUAGAGGGUUGACGGAGAAAACGGAAUUCCACGUGUAGCGGUGAAAUGCGUAGAUAUGUGGAAGAACACCAGUGGCGAAAGCGGUUUUCUAGUUAAUACCUGACGCUGAGGCGCGAGAGCAAGGGGAGCAAACAGG
rnacentral:rRNA from 1 species